UACAGAGGGGCAAGCGUUGUUCGGAAUUACUGGGCGUAAAGGGCGCGUAGGCGGCCUUCUAAGUCGAACGUGAAAUCCCUGGGCUCAACCCAGGAACUGCGUCCGAUACUGGAAGGCUUGAAUCCGGGAGAGGGAUGCGGAAUUCCAGGUGUAGCGGUGAAAUGCGUAGAUAUCAGGAGGAACACCGGUGGCGAAGGCGGAUCUCUGGGCCUGUCCUGACGCUCAGGCGCGAAAGCUAGGGGAGCAAACAGG
rnacentral:rRNA from 1 species